rnacentral:misc_RNA from 1 species
GAACGCACAUUGCGCCCACUGGUAUUCCAGCGGGCAUGCCCGUUCGAGCGUCAUUUUAAUCUUUUCCCAGGAGACUCUUCUAUUCUGUAGUGAGAGUGUCAGCGGGGUGUUGGCAUUGGGCGCCUUAUUUUUAGGCGGCCGGAGCCGAAAUGAAGCGGCGGACUCGCGGCGGCCCCUAGCGCAGUAGAAACAACCCUUCUCGCUUAGGAGAGCUGCAGCGGCGGACCCCAGCCCUAUAUGCUUUUUUUUUUUUUUUUUUAAAAAAAAAAAAAAAAAAGCUAACAUAUAUAAAAACUUGACCUCGGAUCGGGUAGGACUACCCGCUGAACUUAAG